rnacentral:rRNA from 1 species
CCGGCGCACGGGUGCGUAACGCGUAUGCAACCUACCUUUAACAGGGGGAUAACACUGAGAAAUUGGUACUAAUACCCCAUAAUAUCAUAGAAGGCAUCUUUUAUGGUUGAAAAUUCCGAUGGUUAGAGAUGGGCAUGCGUUGUAUUAGCUAGUUGGUGGGGUAACGGCUCACCAAGGCGACGAUACAUAGGGGGACUGAGAGGUUGAACGGCCACAUUGGGACUGAGACACGGCCCAG